rnacentral:tmRNA from 1 species
GGUUGCGAGCCGAGGCGCCUAUGGCCUCGUAAAAAUGGGCAAAAAAACAAAUGCGAAGAACAACAACUUUGCUACCGCACGUAACAUCGCUCCGGCGACUUACGCGUAUGCCGCUUAAUUAAUAGUUAAGUGAGCCAGCCGCGCCCCGUACUGGCGGAAUGGACGGGACCGGUUAAAUAACAUCCGCUACCGGGUUGCCAUGCGUGUAGCAACCACGGGAAAUUAACACUCUUACCGUGCCUGUAGCCUGCCGACGGGCGACAACGCGGGACAUUUAAAACGUUAGCUACGCUCGUAGAUGCUUGUGCUAGGUAUGUUUCGGACCAGGGUUCGAGUCCCUGCGCCUCCACUG